GGGGUGCCGGCGGUGCGUGCGGAGCGGCUCCGGUUCAGUUUCAGCCCACGCGCGGCGGUGUGCCGAGCGGGGCCCGGUACAGGGGCUGCUCCCGGCAGCGCGACCUCAGCCGGGGGGGCUCGGCGGAGAGGCCGCGUCCGCGUCCUUGCGGGCCGGGGCCGGGGCCGGCGGCUCGGUGGGAGGCUGCCCGCUUCUGGCCUCGGGGCCGUCUCCGCGUUUGGCACGCGCGGGCAGAGCCGGGGCUGCUGCCGGCCGUGGGUGGGCCGGGACCCGGGCUUUCCUCGUGCGUUCGGGCGGUGCCACGGGUCUGAGGGCUGCCGCUGCUCUGGGGAUGCCGCCGGGCUGGCGGUGCUGGCCUUGUCUCCUCGCCCUUGCCGUAAUGGGAGGGUGGAGUGCCUAACCGCUUCACCAAGGAGCAACAUCUGGGACCACAGACACAAAUUGGAGAAAACUGAUGGGAAAUCAAAAUCUGUUCACACCGUGUGCACCUCCAGAACAUCAGCCUCCACAGAUGGAGAGUGACAGUGGCACACGCUCAAGUGCCAAAUGCAUGGCAUGUCCCUGGCCAGAGGAUGACAGGGCAGAAGAAGUGAAGCCAGAGAUUACUAGAGGCAAAGAAGGCAAGAAAGAGACAUACAGAGCUCAUUUCCCUCAGGCUGGUUUCUUCCGCUGUGCUGAGACAGAGCUCAAGUUCCUGGUGAGGACAGCCACCACUGUUGAGUACGAGUACUCCUUCUGGGAAUGUCACCUGCCUGAUGGGAUCCCCGCUGGAUGGAUGGAGGCUGGACUGGUGUUCGACAUCCAUGCUACGCUGGGUGCUGUCGAGGCCAUUCAUCUCCUUCAUUUCCUGUGUCUCACAGAAGGAAAUGUGAACACAUCUGAGAUGCGUAUCGGCCAUGUCCUCAAUGGGAACAUGCUCCUGGAGAAGCCCAAUGCAGUGAAGCCAUUCCACACAGAGUUGAGAGAUCCCAGUUUCUCCCCCAUGGGAGUCAUCUUGCUUUCUGCCGCAUUCCCCUUCAUCUGCGUGCACUCCCUUGUGCUGCUCUACCAUGUCAUCAGGGCUGCCAACGUCACCCUUCACCUCUACCUCAUCCCCAACAACCACGGCCUGGAAAAGGUGGUGGACAAGGAUGAGAAGAGAUGAGGCUAUUCACUCUUGAUGAACAAAUCUCCCCAGACCAAACGACUGCUGAACUCUAACACAUGAUACCGUGCAUCUGGUCCUUCACAGGCAGAGAUAAACCCUCAAGUGAGUUGGGCCACGUGCCUCACAACUGCUGUGAAGGAUGGCAAUGCUCUGACACACCAACCUGCUUCUGCCAGGAGCUGAAAUUCAUCUACCUGACAUCAGACAGCCGCCAGCUCCACACCGAGAUCUACAACAAAGACCUCCAGCUCUCUUUGCAGCUCUCUUUGAUGAAGGUCGCCCAGGAAGGUGAAAAGGAGCGUGACCCGCUGUGGGCUGCCUUCCCGAGGGCAGGCGCGGAUCUGCAGAUCCCUCCGCCCCGCUCGUCACGGAACCAGCCCGUAAACCGUUGACAGCAGGGCUGCAUUUUGUGGAGCAGCACCGAGAGCAGCUGAUCCAACGUGUGACAUCAGUCAGCAGUGCCCUGAACCGGCUGUACGGGCACGUCCUGAGCAAUGAGCGGUACCAGAACAUCCGAGCAGUGUCCACCAUGCAGGAGCAGAUGCGGCUCCUCUACAGCUUCACACCCAGAUAGGACGUCGCCUGCAAGGAUCUCUUCCUGGAUGCUCUGAAGGAUACCAACAGUCACCUCAUCCAGAACCUCCAGGGACAGUAAAAACCAUCUCAGGGAGGUUCUGAGUGAGCUCAGCUCAUGGACGCCUUGGGGAAGAUGAGCCCUUGGAUGGGCUCUAAAUGACUCAGGGAGCCCAGAGCUUGGGUAGUCUUUAACCCAACCAACCUGCAGGAGAUCCCCCUUAGCACCCCCUUAGUCCCCGUUGCCACAGCGCUGACCCCAGAACCAUCCUGUUAUCCCAUCAGGGACCAGGUUCAUGCACCAGCAUGAACCUCUGUGUGCCAGCACAUGGAGCCAUAACCUUCACAGAGGUUUCCAUCCUAAUUCCGCAGAACAAGGAGCUUAGCAAUCUUUUGCUAAGGCAGCACCACCCAAGAUAGAAGCACAGUUACUCCUACAUGGAUGUUAUAUAAAAGAGAUGAUCACAAGGUGAUCUCUUUUUAUAGUUUCUAAUUGGGUACUUGGUUUCAUCUUUUCUGGGCUUGCUCUUUCUGGGACUGGAAGAUUCUGUCUCAUUACAAUCUCAUUUUCAUACUGAUGGUACAUGCUUUAUCACAUAAUUAGCCCUCAAUGAGCCGAAAGACCAAUUUCAGGGCAAUUUUCCUUCCUUGCUGACACCAGAGUAUUAUCACUUUUGACACACUUGGGGCUGAAUUGUUCCCUUUUCACUCAUUCUUCCCAUAUUUGUCAUCAAUUUUUCCCACUUUUCUGUCCUCGGUGGACAACUUUGAGACUCUGAACCCGUUGUUUUUCCCUUUCACUUUUCUUCGGUGGACUCUGGGAGCAAUGCAUUAGCAGCAAUUGCUUCCAGAGGUAAAGAGAUGUACAGGGACAGUUUUCCCUAUCAUCAUUUAAUUCAUUUCAUUUAAAUUGACCUUUGUGGUUCAGCCAUUCAGUUCUUGUAAUUCCCAAACACACCAGGGCAGGGAAUUAUCCCUCCAAUAAUAACCUCCAACAGUGUGAGAAGAUCAACAUUAAAAGUACCA